GUGAACGCUGGCGGUAGGCCUAACACAUGCAAGUCGCACGGCAGCACAGUAAGAGCUUGCUCUUACGGGUGGCGAGUGGCGGACGGGUGAGGAAUACAUCGGAAUCUACUUUUUCGUGGGGGAUAACGUAGGGAAACUUACGCUAAUACCGCAUACGACCUACGGGUGAAAGCAGGGGAUCUUCGGACCUUGCGCGAUUGAAUGAGCCGAUGUCGGAUUAGCUAGUUGGCGGGGUAAAGGCCCACCAAGGCGACGAUCCGUAGCUGGUCUGAGAGGAUGAUCAGCCACACUGGAACUGAGACACGGUCCAGACUCCUACGGGAGGCAGCAGUGGGGAAUAUUGGACAAUGGGCGCAAGCCUGAUCCAGCCAUACCGCGUGGGUGAAGAAGGCCUUCGGGUUGUAAAGCCCUUUUGUUGGGAAAGAAAAGCAGCAGGCUAAUACCCCGCUGUUCUGACGGUACCCAAAGAAUAAGCACCGGCUAACUUCGUG
rnacentral:rRNA from 1 species